rnacentral:rRNA from 1 species
ACGCUCGACACCUACGGGAGGCAGCAGUUGGGAAUAUUGGACAAUGGAGGAAACUCUGAUCCAGUGACGCCGCGUGAAGGAAGAAGGUCUUCGGAUUGUAAACUUAUUUUGUCAGGGAGGAAAAAUGACUGUACCUGAAGAAAAAGCACCGGCUAACUACGUGACAGCAGCCGCGGUAAUCUGAGCGGGCUGGCAAGGC